UGACGGUCGGCGGCGUGGCCUCCGGAGCGGUGAAAAGCGACACCGCGGGUGUAGGAUUACGCCGUCGCGGUGCACGCGCGCCGCGCGAAUGGGAAUCCUUUCGGUCACUGCACCCCGUGCACGUCGUCGUCGAGAUCGCGAUCCGUCGUCCGCCACGACGUCGUUACCGGUCACGGGACCGUCGUCACUCGUGCUCCGUCGACCCUUUUCCGCCACGAUGCCGUUUCCCGCGAAUCCCGCGCACGGACCGUCCGUCUACAAGAACAAAUUGGGUGAGUAAACGCGUCAUUAAUAUUCCGAGGUAAUUAAUCAUUUAUGUGUGUACGAUAAACGGGUAAAAUAAACACUUUAGCACUUACCCAACUAGCCACAGUAAAAUGUACCCACGCCAAAUAUCCGUAUUUUCGAACUUCGAGUGUCUUUUUGAAAAAAUGUAUUCCCUGGUACGCAGUCGAAAAUUAAUAUAACCGACAUUCCCAAUAUUAUAUUGAUAGGUCUGUUAUUAAAACGUUUGUUCCGUGAUUUUUUUACUGGUUUUUUUUUCUACGAAUUCAUAUUAUUAUGUUGUAGGUACCUACUAAUAACGGACGUACAAAAAUAUUUAAAUUCGUUCAACGUAGGUAAUAAUAAUUGUUAUUACGACGGGUAAUACCUAAUCAUACAGGUCGUUAUCAGCAUGAUUAUGACCGUGUAUUUUAGGUACCUAUCUACAUUGAUUACUACGUACAUAAUUUAUGGACAGGUUGUCCCAACCAGUUGGACGGAUUUGUCUAAAGCCGUUAAUAUUCAAUUACAAUUAAUAUUCGUUAAUAUUUUUUGUUUUUGUUUUUUUUUUUUAAUAGGACUUAUAUUUUAUGAGAAAAAUUUAAUUUUAAUUUUUAUCCCCUAAUCGUUAAAUAACUUUUUAUGUAUUCAUUUAACCGUAAAUUUUCAAAAUAGCAAUUUUAGAGGAUAUUAUUCUAAAAAUGUUAAUGUAUCACACAUAUAAUCAUAUCCAAUGUAUAGUUUUAGAUUCUGAGUGUAGCAAAGAAUGUAUUGGUUGUAAAAGAUGUUUAUUUUUUUAUAUUGUGUAUACAAAAAUUCUAACAGGAAUCUUGCUUUGAUAUUUACGCGCAGUACCAUUUCUAAAAGGAAAUAUUGUCCAGAUGGUACUUUUAGGAGGUCAUUUUUUGAUUUUCCAAGCGGUUUUCAUGAUAUUUGGGAAAAACCGCGAUAAAACGUAAGGAAAAAACAAAAAUUUACGAAAAUAAUAAAGUUUUAUUAUUUUUCAUUAUUGUAAUCUGUUAUAAUUCAAUUAAAAAUAUAUUUAGAGACUUGAAAUUUGGACAAAAAUUUAUAUUUACCUUUUCUAAAUGUGGUAAAGUUUUCAAAAAAUUUAAGCCAUUUUUGGGCCAUUUAGACAUUUUAAUUUUGUGAGUUUUGUACGUAAUGUUUAUUCGGUAGAUACUCUGUAGUAAAAUUGUUAGACUUAAGAGAAAUGCUUGCAAAUUUAACAGGUUCAUUAUUUUGUGUUUAGAAAACAAAUUUGAGUUUAAUGUUUUUUAUAAAUGAAUUUGAAUAUCGAAUUUUGAUGAAAAUUGCAGUUUUUCCAGGAAAUUUGAAAAACUGGAAAAAAACGUAGAAAAACCAGUAAAAUCAGUACGAUAUUAAACAAAUAUUAUUAAAGAAAAUAUAUAAUACCUAUUUAAUUAUUGUAUCAUAAUAUGAAAUACUUAUUGUUGACAAAGCAUCACUAUCAACUGAACUCUGCUCAGAAUCGUUUUUUCGUUAACAAUGGUUUAUCGUUACUUACAGAUACAAAUUAAUUUCCUCUUUAUAUCCUACAUUCCCAACUUCUCAUCAACAACAGUGCUGCACCCAUCGUGCGAAGUAUGUCCGUCUUUUUUUAGUAAUAGUCUUUUUAAUUUUUAACAUUUUCGAUUUAUAACACAAUAAAUCAAGUUAUUUCCUAUUGCAUUACGCAAAUAAUCGGGUAACGCUGUUUUUAACACCUUUCCUCUAGAAAUAAAAACGGCUGUUAGUAAGAAACUAUUGAUCAGAUAUGGAUGUAUGAUCCAUCAACAUUUUUAGAAUGUUAUAAUUUACAAAAUGACUAUUUUAAAAAUUUUGUUAAGUGAAUAAAUAAAAUGUUCUUUAUUUUAGAAAUUAUAGAAUCAAAAUAAAAAUCGAAUUUUUCUCUAAAUAGAUCAUCCAAAGAAAAUCAGAUUGAAAAAAAUUAAUUAAAAAAAUAGGCGAACAUGGUGGAACACUGUAUCUGUAUCUAUAGUAGAUUACAUUGUGUGUACUUAUUUCCGUUAUAGCUCAUAAAACUAGUAAAAAUCUGUCAGAAAAUACGGCCUAAAUAGGUUUUUAUACUGCUAAAGGUUGAAAAUGUCUUUCAAAAUCUUCUUAUAGUACUUACUUACCUAUAAUUUUUUUUGUAUUAUCCUAAAAUAUUAUAUCAAUUUCUUUUCGAUUCACUGUAUACACAUAACUAUGUAGAUCACAUUUUAUCAAUGUUAUAGUUGUAUCUAGCCUUACCAGUUUACCGGACUCUGCUUAGAAUAGUUUUUUUUUUAAUUGAAAUGAUUUAUCGUCAGUUUUCGUGUUUUAAUAUUAAUUAAUAAUAACUUCAAACAGUAGUAUACCCAUAGACGCAAUAUUUUUGGGGAUACACAAAUAGUAAAAACCUUACAGAUCCGUAGGAGCUUUGUCCCCACAUCUCCGACCCACUUUAUAUUGCACUAUAUUUAUGAUAAAAAAAUUGCAAAUAUUAUGUAUGUACUUUGUUUUAAUAUAGGCAACACAAAUUCCAGACUAACAAAAAAGUUUAUUACAACUAUUUCAACAUAAAUUUUCUUGAAUGCAAAUUACAUAAUAUAUUUAAAAUGUAUACAUUUUUUUAAACUAUUUGUUAUAUCCCUUCGAUAUUUAAUAUCGAUAAUAUUUACUUCAAAAUCAAAACAAUCAAACUGCAGUAGAAAAUGGUUUUCACAUUUUGGGGGUGCACAAGUACUCUGUGCACCCCCUAUUCGCGCCAAUAGGCAUACCCUUGAGAAGUUUUUUUUAUUUUUUCGUAUAAUUAGAAAAAUAUUUCUAGUGAACGUGUUUGGUAAAAUUUUCUCAUGAAAAUAUCAAAAUUACCGUCGAAAAAUAAAAUAAAUUCGCGCGAUAGGCGUGCGGAAAAGUCCGAACUUAUCAAUCGCGUACUUUUCAUGUCAUUUACUACACAAGGCAUAUUUUCAUUAAAAACAAUAAUCUACACUAAAUAUUAAACGAAAAUGUGUAAAUAGUCGUAGUAAGUACUUAUAGCGUGCGCUGAAAUGUGUUUUUUUUUUACUAUAUAAUAUAGCAGAUAAACACUUUUUAAACCAUUAUUGGUAUUGUGUUAAAAAAACAAUAGAAAAUAAAAAAUCGUUUAAACUUAGAAAGUUACAAAUGUAUUAUUAUGUUUAAAAAAAUCCAAAUUUCAGGUCGUAUACGUGAUCUAUUAUAUUAUAUUUUUGAUCCUUCAUUCUUCCAUGUGCAUUUUAUAUUUGUAUAGGUACACCGCAUACUGUAUUAUAUUUUAUUUUCAUGUCAUCGAUGUGCUGUAAAAUUUUUAAAACAACCUGCAUGUAAUGAAGCUGCGACGAAUGCAAAAUCGUUUUUUUUUUUCGACUUUUCACCUACUAUAUUAUAAUAUUAUGUAUUAUAUACACAGUAUACGAGCGCUACACUAUACGUUUGUUAUCAGAAUUAGACGUAAAACCCAGCGUGUCUAAAAUGAAAUUAUGAAACUUUCUACUGCACAUAUCAUUUUUCCUAUAUACACAAAAAAAAAAAAAAUGGGGGGAGCGAUAGGUGAAUCGUCUCCCCCCCUUAUACUAUAUUAUAUUACAAAAAAAAACCUGAUAAUAUAUCUAUGUUUUACAUUAUUUUAUAGUUAAUAAUAACUGUGGUAACAAAGCAAAAAAAUCAAUGAUUUUAAUAUUUUUUAGCAACACUAGGUUUCACCUAUUCUGUGAUAUGGCCAUGAUAAUGUGGUGUGCGGAGACCGGGAGACGGCAUGCACCACGAACUAAAAUAUUAAAGACCGAUUUCCAAAUCAAAAAAACCGAAAAAGGACUUUUAUUUUGUAAUA